rnacentral:rRNA from 1 species
UCCUACGGGAGGCAGCAGUGGGGAAUAUUGCACAAUGGGCGCAAGCCUGAUGCAGCAACGCCGCGUGAGGGACGAAGGCCUUCGGGUUGUAAACCUCUUUUAGUAGGGAAGAAGCGACUGGGUUUUCCUGGGAGUGACGGUACCUGCAGAAAAAGCACCGGCUAACUACGUGCCAGCAGCCGCGGUAAUACGUAGGGUGCAAGCGUUGUCCGGAAUUAUUGGGCGUAAAGAGCUCGUAGGCGGUUUGUCGCGUCUGCUGUGAAAACCCGAGGCUCAACCUCGGGCCUGCAGUGGGUACGGGCGGACUAGAGUGCGGUAGGGGAGAUUGGAAUUCCUGGUGUAGCGGUGGAAUGCGCAGAUAUCAGGAGGAACACCAAUGGUGAAGGCAGAUCUCUGGGCCGUAACUGACGCUGAGGAGCGAAAGCAUGGGGAGCGAACAGGAUUAGAUACCCUGGUAGUCCAUGCCGUAAACGUUGGGAACUAGAUGUGGGGACCAUUCCACGGUCUCCGUGUCGCAGCUAACGCAUUAAGUUCCCCGCCUGGGGAGUACGGCCGCAAGGCUAAAACUCAAAGGAAUUGACGGGGGCCCGCACAAGCGGCGGAGCAUGCGGAUUAAUUCGAUGCAACGCGAAGAACCUUACCAAGGCUUGACAUAUACCGGAAACGGCUGGAAACAGUCGCCCCGCAAGGUCGGUAUACAGGUGGUGCAUGGUUGUCGUCAGCUCGUGUCGUGAGAUGUUGGGUUAAGUCCCGCAACGAGCGCAACCCUCGUCCUAUGUUGCCAGCACGUAAUGGUGGGAACUCAUGGGAUACUGCCGGGGUCAACUCGGAGGAAGGUGGGGAUGACGUCAAAUCAUCAUGCCCCUUAUGUCUUGGGCUUCACGCAUGCUACAAUGGCCGGUACAAAGGGCUGCGAUACCGCAAGGUGGAGCGAAUCCCAAAAAGCCGGUCUCAGUUCGGAUUGAGGUCUGCAACUCGACCUCAUGAAGUCGGAGUCGCUAGUAAUCGCAGAUCAGCAACGCUGCGGUGAAUACGUUCCCGGGCCUUGUACACACCGCC